rnacentral:lncRNA from 1 species
UGACCUAUUGUGAAAAACUUCCAACAAACGGGUUAGACCAAGAUGAGGGCAGAGUAGAAAAACACCAACCUGGUGUACUCCAUUGUGCACUUGGCGAGGAGGGAGGCCAUGUUGUCACAGGAGGACCGGCCACGCACAUAUUGACUUGUGGGGGAGGCCUGUAAUUAUUGCUCUUGUAAGUUGAAUCAAAUCGAUGAUAACACCGAUCAACAAGAUGACCAGGUUUUCCACAUAGUUGAUACUGAAUUUUUGAGUUAGAAUAUCGUCCUCGAC